AUGACGACGGGUCCUCGCAAGCGGCGCCAAGGCAAAGGCCGCGGCUCGUCGGCCCGUUCGAAUAGGCGGCCGAAGCUUCGCUCAGCGCGGCGCCCACAGCCCGCAGCCAUCUCCAUCUGUGGCGAGGCAAGUCCGUUGGUGGAUUCAACCCCGACCCCAAAGCGGAUGACAUCGGAGACGUUGGUCAGCGCUGAGACGAAGGGGAGCGCCUCCUCCGCGGUCACCUCGGUGCGCAUCAGCGUGGGUAUGAGGGGGCGGAGGCAAGUCUCCACUCGUGGGCGCGACGGUGUCCGCAUGCAGCAUCAGCACGGCAAGGCCGGCGAACAACCAUGGGUCAAGACUGAUGGGGGCAUGUGCGGCGACGCCAAGACCAACGUGGGUGUCCUGGGCAGCGUUCGCUACGGCGCGCUGGCCACCCACGGCAUGACGAGGGGCGCGAAAACCGCCCCAAGCGGAGCCACCAACGGCACCUCGGCCGUGUCCAACGACGGUCAAGCCACGUCCAGCACCAGCCCGGCGACAACAGGCAAGGAAACGACUCCGCCGGUUGUCCUCGUUGAUGAGGCAAAGGAAAAAGAAGGUGAGGGGCGACAUCUCACCGACGACAAGUGCUUUUUUCCUUCUCUCUUUCUCUAUUGCUAUUUCUCUAUCUGGCAGGCAAUGUUGAUAACGUGUUCGUAAUCAAAAGUGAUUGAGUAAAACUUAUCGAUGAUUACAGGAUGCCUUCUAUAUAGUCUAAAGAGACACGAAUGUUUGGAGACAUCAGUUCAGUUCGAAACACGGACGCAUCGGUGUAGUCCCCUAAUGAAAGACUAAUAUUUAGGAAUGGAGGGACUAUAGUCCCCUAAUGAAAGACUAAUAUUUAGGAAUGGAGGGAAUAGUCUGUAAUGAAACCUCUAAAAGAGGUAUAUUUCAUAAUGGAGUAUUUAAGAAGGGAGAGAGUAUGAUAUUUCCAGACUUCACUAAAUAUUUUGUGAAUACAUUUUAUGAAGGUUUAGCCAGUAAUCAAUUUAAAAAUAAACACAAUUAUGUUUGUUCUUCUCAACUACUCCAAACAUUCGUUUUUAGUUUAUGUUUACGUAACACGAAAUAGAAGUGGGCCUCACAGGAAUGUCGACACGGAAUCACAUAAUAAUAUAACUAGGUGAAAGCACAUAGGUCUUCCACUCACAAUAGUUGAAUAGUAGGAACAGAGCAACUAAGCCGAUUACAGCAACCACACGCAGCUGACCCACCACGGUCACAACAUAAUAAAGUUCACACCGCACACAGAAGUCACACCAACAAGUCUUCACAGCAGUUCAUAGGCAAACUACGGGACACACUGUCUCGUUAUUUAGGCAUAUAUAAA